GUGGGGAAUUUUGGACAAUGGGCGCAAGCCUGAUCCAGCAAUGCCGCGUGCAGGAUGAAGGCCUUCGGGUUGUAAACUGCUUUUGUACGGAACGAAAAGCCCUGGGUUAAUACCCUGGGGUCAUGACGGUACCGUAAGAAUAAGCACCGGCUAACUACGUGCCAGCAGCCGCGGUAAUACGUAGGGUGCGAGCGUUAAUCGGAAUUACUGGGCGUAAAGCGUGCGCAGGCGGUUUUGUAAGACAGAGGUGAAAUCCCCGGGCUCAACCUGGGAACUGCCUUUGUGACUGCAAGGCUAGAGUACGGCAGAGGGGGAUGGAAUUCCGCGUGUAGCAGUGAAAUGCGUAGAUAUGCGGAGGAACACCGAUGGCGAAGGCAAUCCCCUGGACCUGUACUGACGCUCAUGCACGAAAGCGUGGGGAGCAAACAGGAUUAGAAACCCCAGUAGUCC
rnacentral:rRNA from 1 species